GACGAACGCUGGCGGCGUGCCUAAUACAUGCAAGUCGAACGCUUCUUUCCUCCCGAGUGCUUGCCUUCGAUUGGAAAGAGGAGUGGCGGACGGGUGAGUAACACGUGGGUAACCUACCCAUCAGAGGGGGAUAACACUUGGAAACAGGUGCUAAUACCGCAUAACAGUUUAUGCCGCAUGGCAUAAGAGUGAAAGGCGCUUUCGGGUGUCGUUGAUGGAUGGACCCGCGGUGCAUUAGCUAGUUGGUUAGGUAACGGCGCACCAAGGCCACGAUGCAUAGCCGACCUGAGAGGGUGAUCGGCCACACUGGAACUGAGACACGGCCCAGACUCCUACGGGAGGCAGCAGUAGGGAAUCUUCGGCAAUGGACGAAAGUCUGACCGAGCAACGCCGCGUGAGUGAAGAAGGUUUUCGGAUCGUAAAACUCUGUUGUUAGAGAAGAACAAGGACGUUAGUAACUGAACGUCCCCUGACGGUAUCUAACCAGAAAGCCACGGCUAACUACGUG
rnacentral:rRNA from 1 species